UACGAAGGGUGCAAGCGUUACUCGGAAUUACUGGGCGUAAAGCGUGCGUAGGUGGUGAGUUAAGUCUGUCGUGAAAGCCCCGGGCUCAACCUGGGAAUGGCGAUGGAUACUGGCUCGCUAGAGUGCGGUAGAGGAGACUGGAAUUCCUGGUGUAGCGGUGAAAUGCGCAGAUAUCAGGAGGAACACCGGUGGCGAAGGCGGGUCUCUGGGCCGAUACUGACGCUGAGGAGCGAAAGCGUGGGGAGCGAACAGG
rnacentral:rRNA from 1 species